rnacentral:rRNA from 1 species
UGGGGAAUAUUGCACAAUGGGCGAAAGCCUGAUGCAGCGACGCCGCGUGAGGGAUGACGGCCUUCGGGUUGUAAACCUCUUUCAGUAGGGACGAAGCGCAAGUGACGGUACCUGCAGAAGAAGCACCGGCUAACUACGUGCCAGCAGCCGCGGUAAUACGUAGGGUGCGAGCGUUGUCCGGAAUUACUGGGCGUAAAGAGCUCGUAGGCGGUUUGUCACGUCGUCUGUGAAAUCCUAAGGCUUAACCCUGGACGUGCAGGCGAUACGGGCUGACUUGAGUACUACAGGGGAGACUGGAAUUUCUGGUGUAGCGGUGGAAUGCACAGAUAUCAGGAAGAACACCGAUGGCGAAGGCAGGUCUCUGGGUAGUAACUGACGCUGAGGAGCGAAAGCAUGGGUAGCGAACAGG